rnacentral:rRNA from 1 species
CCUACGGGAGGCAGCAGUGGGGAAUUUUGGACAAUGGGCGCAAGCCUGAUCCAGCCAUUCCGCGUGAGUGAAGAAGGCCUUCGGGUUGUAAAGCUCUUUCGCAAGGGAAGAAACGAUUUAGGUGAAUAAUCUAAGUUAAUGACGGUACCUUGAUAAGAAGCACCGGCUAACUACGUGCCAGCAGCCGCGGUAAUACGUAGGGUGCAAGCGUUAAUCGGAAUUACUGGGCGUAAAGCGUGCGCAGGCUGUUUUAGAAGUCAGAUGUGAAAUCCCCGAGCUCAACUUGGGAACUGCGUUUGAAACUACAAGACUAGAAUAUGUCAGAGGGGGGUAGAAUUCCACGUGUAGCAGUGAAAUGCGUAGAGAUGUGGAGGAAUAUCAAUGGCGAAGGCAGCCCCCUGGGAUAAUAUUGACGCUCAUGCACGAAAGCGUGGGGAGCAAACAGGAUUAGAUACCCUGGUAGUCCACGCCCUAAACGAUGUCAACUAGUUGUUGGUAGAGUAAAACUNUAUGAGUAACCGNAGCUAACGCGUAGAAGUUCGACCGCCGUCGGGUAGGUACGUUAGUUACGUCGAAGAAGUUAAACGUUAACGAAGGAAGUAGACGGACGNGAGACGNGCGACGGACGACGACGAGGGAGGAGG